AGCAAAUAACGCACGCCAUGGAAGGUAAUUGGUGCGUUUGAGCUUGAUAGGCACCAUGCUACCAAUAUUUUGGAUUGUUAGAGACAUAUACGAGGUCUGAGGAUUUGCAGAGAAAUUAGGGUUUGGCGACGGAGACGAAGAGUCAGAGGGGGAGGCCAUGAGAUACAAGUGCAAGAUGCGAGAGAGGAGGAAGAAUCAAAGACAGAAAACACAAGAUCGAUCACGAAAUCGAUCAAGAAAUCGAUCGAGAGAGAGAGAAAUCGAUCAAGAAAGCCCCAAAUCAACGAAAUUGUAAGAAAAAUCAGAUGUAUCACCGACUUAAAAUUGAAAGAAAUUGUAGACAAAAGCCACCAUGACAGAUCAAGAACAGGGAUCGGAAUACCAAAUCACUGAAGAAAUCUGAUCAAUUUGAACAGAAAUCAGAGAAGUAGAGCGGAAGAAAUGGAGGAUCGAAUGCCGGUAGGCUUAUGGCGAUGAAACCAUGUAGAAAUGUUGAAGAAGAUAUUUCUCAUUAUAUUUUAACUGACAGUACAUAGAGAUAUAUAUAGUCACUAAGACUCUUUACAUAAGUGACCUUAUCUUCUACAACUAAUUACACAAAUACCACAACUAACUAUUUACUGUUGUAACUAAAUUGUGACUGGGUUAGGUCUCUCAAUAGCAUAAAGCUUAUGAAAAUUCAAAUGUAUUUGACCACGAUAUAAUUUUAGAGGAUUUCAAAAGUGAAGAUUUUUUGUGGAUGUAGAAGAAUGUUUUAAGUCUUUAACAUAUUUUAAUGUGGACUAUCCUUUUAUUUGG
rnacentral:lncRNA from 1 species